GAAAGGCAGAAGCCCUAAGCUGUGCCCAACUGGGCAGAGGAGUCCUUCUCCUGUCAUCACUGAAAUAGCUUGGGAAUCUGAAGACUUUCUUUUCCAUCAGCCAUUCAAUAUCUUCCCAGUGCUGUUUCCUAGGAGAGAUGUUACGUGUUCAGAAGAGGCUCUUCAAGCAGCUACCAAGCCUGAGGUGACAGUUCCCUACCAAAGAAUUGCAGGCUUCAAGCAUUGUGUGAGUUGCUUGGAACAUGGAUUACGGUGGCUGGAAUCUUACUGACAUCAACCACAGCGACAGAAAACAUCCAGCUUUAUGAAAAAAGAAAGACCUUGCAGGUGUAUUUCAUUUGGGGAAGAUGAUAUCACAACUUGAAGAAUUAUCAACUGAGAGCUUAAUCAGCCACCUAAGUACUUGUGAAUAUAAUUUGUGAUAUCUACUGCAUCUCUAUGACAUGUAAGACAACAGCAUACAACAACUCUACUCUUCAGCUGAGGUUAAACAUCUGAACACUGAAAAUGGUCUGGGUUCCCAGAAGGAAGUUCUUUCCUGUGACAAUCAAGUGUUUUUCAUUUGUUUUUCUCCGGUUAUUCCUUCAUGGGAAAGAAAUCCCAGUGGCUUAGUAAUGCUUGUAAGAAACUGCAGAGAACUAGGAAAAGUGAGGGAGGGAGAGUCACCUAAACAAUCGAAGUGUUGAUGCAGGAUUUGAAAGGAAAGGUGGUGGCUUGGCUGGAUUGGAGAAAAAGAAAUCCAAGCACAGAAGGAGGAAGGAGUAGAAUAAUGAAACAAACACAAAUUGGAAGUGAAUUUUGUUUGCUAAGUGGGAGGUAGACAAAGCAGACAACAUAUAUAUAAGGAUUCGUGGCAGCUGCUUUGUGAAUGCAGCUGUGAGGGCUUUGAAAGAGAACAAACUACUGUCUGAAGGGAAGUGAGACUGUGGAAAUGAGGUGGGUACAGCCAAGCUGCAAGAUCCAAGAGCAAAUUCAGGCAAGGCAGAGCAUAUGGAAGGUAGAACCAGGCAGAUAACAGAACUUUUUUGGGGGGGAGGUAGGAUUUCUCCUGCCAGCUCUAGAGUAUCUAAAAUACACAUCCAUAUCUAAACCUGUCACUGACUCUAAGUUUAAAACUGCCACUCUGAUUCUUCCUUUAUAGCCAGCAGAGAGAAACAGGCACUUUGAAAGGGGAAUUGGAAAAGAAACUACUAGCUAAGGUCAAACUUCUAGAUGUCUGAAUUAAAGCAGACUGUGGGUGUGAGCCUCUUUCCUAAACAUAGAUAUGUACUGCCAUUGGAAAUGCCCUAAAAUAUCACUCUGUCACUCAGCUAUUGGUAGUGAGAGCUCAGGCCUCCUUUAGGUUACAUCUGCCAGGCCUGAUGGGGGGCCCUAACACCCUGUGAUGCCUGAAGAGUCUCUAGGGACUACAUGUGGGAACUGGGCAGAGCUCCUUCUAUCAACCAAUGGAUCUGGAUUUUUCUCUUUUUGGGGAAAAAAAAUCUGCAUCUCAAAGU